CUCCGUGCUACCAAGCUGUUUUCAAUGAUGUGUCUUCCAAAUCGACGAUCAGCUCUAGCUAUUAGAUUUGAUCUACACUAUUAAAAGUAUUUAGAAACUAAAUUUUAUAAUUUUUCGAUAUCAUUUAUCUUUCAAACAAGUAGUCUAAAAUUGAACGACUGAAAAUAAAAAUCUUAUAAAAAAUGAUGAUAAAGAUUUAAAUUCAAGAUCAGAUAUACUGAUCUUACUUUAAAUAGUGAAAAGAAUUUUCUAUAAAAUUUUCAUCGAAUUUGGAUUGUUUUACGCCGUUAAACUCACAAACACACCACAUCGACCGUUAAAAUUGUCAAUUUUGAGAUCUUUUAAUCACUAGUCAAAUGAUGUCGAAAAAAUUUAAAAUUUAAGUUCCAAAUACUUUCAAUAGUGUAGAUCAAGUCUAACAGAGCCGAUCAUCGAUUUGGAAGCCGUAUCAUCGAAAACAACUUGGUAGCACAGAGCCCUCCGUGCUACCGAUAGUAUAGUAGCCGGACCCUAUAUAUAUAUAUAUAUAUAUAUAUA
rnacentral:lncRNA from 1 species